rnacentral:tRNA from 1 species
GCCCGGGUGGUGGAAUAGGUAGACACGCAGGACUUAAACUCCUGUGGCUGAUGAAGCCGUACCGGUUCGAUUCCGGUUCCGGGCA